rnacentral:tRNA from 1 species
GGGGGCGUAGUUCAGUCGGUUAGAAUGCCGGCCUGUCACGCCGGAGGUCGCGGGUUCGAGCCCCGUCGCUCCCGCCA